rnacentral:rRNA from 1 species
AUGGCUGCCUUACCUGGAGCCAGAGCAAAGACAAAGUGCCCGCCCGGGUUGGCAGGUCGAGACGGCAACAGAUCGAGUCGAGCUCCUUUCCUUUCCACACGGGCCUUCGGAAGCACCGGGCAAAGCGGCAUCAUUUGCGCGCGCGCGGACACGGACGCGCAUGUCCAUGUGGGCUGUGGAGCAUGUACGUAUGUCUGUCCCCGAUCCCAGUGGCGCGUUAAUGGACACACGCACGUAGUACGUACGUACGUACAGGGGUCGGGCCAUGGCCUCCCUCCCUGUCCUGGCACCACAUCAAGGGCGCGGCAGAGCUGCAAACACGGACACGGGGGCUUUCACUGUCGUGCCGUGCAGGCUCCGCCGAGGCGCCGGGCGAUGCCGAUGCACCCACCCACCCGGCCACCCCAGCUAGGCCGGCCGCCCAUUGAUGGCCGCAUUCAUUGGCACACGCAUACGCCCGCGUGCUCGCUCGCUCUCCCAAACCCAGCGCGCGCGCAGCGCCUCUAUCUCCUCUCGUCUCCAAGAGAAUCCGUCCGCUCGUCACGUACAAGAUCAUGGAUGGACCGCCGCCCGGGCGACGGCGAGGACGCGGCCGAGGCGAUAGAUCGCUCGCCGGGACGCGACGGAGCGGGCCAAGGGGGCGGCGGAGCGGAACUGCGGAAGAUACGGGAACGUGCCCCGCUUUUGGAGCUCCGGCUUCCUUCUCGUGGCGGUGGGGCCGCCGACCGCCGGAGACCCGUGCGGGUCCCGUCUCUGCGGCGCGGGGUGGGGCACACGCGCGCGCUGUGUUACGCUUUGCCUUUUACUACCGCCGGCCUUUUUUCCUUUGCUUCGGUGUCGCUUUCUUUACCGGUGUGGGCUACGUACGGCGCGGACAGGGAAAGGAGACGCAGGGGCAUCGGACGGCUCUGUUUGAAAGGGCCGACGUCGGCCCCGGUCCCCGCCGUCGGAUCGGCGACGUUGCGCGGCUCGAGGGACGCUGGGGCUGUCGCUGUUCACGCGAUGACACGAGAGAUGAUAAUAAGCUGGGUGGCCCCAUUUUGCAGCCGCGACCUCGCGGAUCCAGGUAAUUACCGUGUCGGUAACCAGGCAGACGGUUCUUCUUUUUCUUCUUCAUUCACGUACGGUCGUGUGGAAAUCCAGCAAAUCCUGUGA